rnacentral:rRNA from 1 species
UACAGAGGGUGCGAACGUUGCUCGGAAUACUGGGCGUAAAGCGCAUGUAGGCGGAUCCAUAAGUCGGGCGUGAAAUCCCCAGGCUCAACCUGGGAACUGCGCUCGAAACUGUGGGUCUCGAGUGUCGGAGAGGAUGGCGGAAUUCCUGGUGUAGAGGUGAAAUUCGAUAGAUAUCAGGAGGAACACCGGUGGCGAAGGCGGC